AAGUUGCACACACUCACUAGCUCUUUGGUUUUGGUGGCAGCUGAGGAAAAGGCAUGCUCCUGGGAGCAGCAGUAGCUGCAGUGUUCAGCUCCAAACUCUGGUGGUGUGGUGAGGAAGUAGCUGCUGCUGCUGCGUUUUCACUUUUUCAAGUUUAAAAGAAAGGAAGAAAAAGGAACAAAGGUGGCAUCAUUUGUGUCCAGGGAUAUGUAGUUGGGAGCUGGGGGAAGGAAGGAUAUUGGCAGCUGGAGUUGAGUGGUCAGGAGUUGAGUGGUCAGCCUACAAACAGCACUUCUUCUAAGUAUGGCUCAUGGAGGCAAUGCUUUUUUCAAGACUAAAAGCAAGAAUAAACUGCACCGGGGCAUGAGGAUCUGGCAGAACUGAUACAAGGGUGCUUUAAUGCACAGAUGAAGGGCAUCCUUAGAAAUCUGUGCUGAAUCUUCCAACUUUCUAGCAAUUAUUUUAGAAAACACUUCUACGACCAAAAAUUACCCCAGUGCUGAACCACAUCACUGAGAGGAAAUACGCACAUACAGAAAAAAAUGUGGGCCAAAGCUUUCAAGAGACAAUACUCACUGCAACAGGAAUAUGAUGAUUGCUUGUACAAAGAAACACUUUGGAAAUCCACUGCGAAUGCACAUACUGAAGAAAGCAAAUUAUGCACAUAAUUUAGGCACAUAAAAUACACAUUGAGAAAAGAGUUUCAUGAAAUUUGCAUGAUUUAAGAGGGAAAGGUGCACUUUUGACUGUGAUACUACAUUAGCCAGCACACUUGAGAUUUAUGUCAUGUUUUAUGUUAAACAAUUGUUUACAUCUUAAGAAUCUAGCAUUUUGAAUGGUCAGUGUUGGAGAUGUGUGAAACACUUUUGAGGAAUUUACCUAAUCUUAUCAAAAGCAUUAGCCUUACUUAAAAUUCCUCAGGUGUGUCAUUUGAAGAGACCUCUUCCAAAUUGUUGCAGAUUUUGUCAUAGGUAAAACCCCUGUGUCAAUCCUAGCUUGUGUGGUUUUUAGUGGACAGAAUGUUGGGCCAGGACUUGAGACCUGGUUUGAAAUCUACUCUCAGCUAGGAGCUUAGGGUUGGAACAAAAAUGUCCUCAAAGUGCAAUUGAAAAGAAAAUUCCAGGAUUCCUUCCAGCGGGAAGCAUUGGAGAAUUUUCUCAGAUGAUUUUUCCACAUCCCUUGAAGUCUAUGUAAAGGAACAUUGUGGGAGGAUGUCUGGACAUUCAUGAAGGAUUUCAUGAAAGGCUUACUCUUGGCAUAUCUGCCUUUUAAUCACAUGAGCCAGAAAAGUAUUGUACGAACUGCCCAUUAAUUGCAGCCCUCACCACUGAUACAUUCAAUGGGUUUUAAUAGGUAUAUAUCAUCAUAUAUCUUAGGACAAAGGUCACUUCUGGGAUUUUCUGGCAUUCCAUCACUGCUGUUUAGAAAAUAGAUUGUGUGGCAACAAUGUUGACAUGCUACAAAUUCAGGAACAUCAGGAGGUAUGUAAGGAUUAUAGCAAUAUGGGAGAGAGGCUCAUUUGUUGGUCAUCCACUUGUACAAACUUGAAUCGAUGAGUGUGUGAUAUUUCACCAUCAGUAGAGACUUGGGCACUUAGAGGCAUUUCAAAACUAUUAACCAAGCACUUGUUGUUCAGUUUCUGGAAGUAUUAUUCUCUACAGUUCAGAAGGUUGUGCAUUUGCCAUCUGUGAAAGCCAUGAUAUGGUUACUUUAACUAUAUUCAUUUUCCUCUCAAUAGGAUGACCAAGGUUUUAUCACUUACUUUAUCACCCUGGCUGCAUCUAAGGCACAUUCCAAAUGGAUUUCACUGUUGCUGAAAUAGUAAAAGUGAAUGAGAAGUUCCAUAUGCCUGUUAAGUUUGGUGCAUUUAGAGGGUCAAUGACUGCUCGGUUGCUCUUCGCAUUUUGACAUCACUUUUCCAAACAGCCAUUUUCGCAAUGUCAGAGCUUAACGUCAGAGCUUGCUGGGCACACUUGACAGGACAGUAUGUACGUGGGAGGUUAUUGGCUGUAUUUUGGGCUAUAAUUAAAUAGUUUGGUUUCUGGCAUUUCCCCCUGUGUCAAUAUGUUUCUACAAAUGUGGGGCUAUACAGGUUCAUACUAGUGACUAAUUUAAAACAAAGGUUCCUGGCUAUGAUGAAAGAUUGGUACAGUUUAUUAUAUCAGGGUACCAAAACUACAGAAGUAGAAGCAGAUCAUUUACUCCUCUCCAGAAGCCUUUGCACAUCCCCUUCUGCUUUGGCUUCUGAUUCCUCUUCUUCGUACUUAGAGCAGGUGUGCACAGUGUGUGUGGCCCACCAAGCCAGACAAAGUCCACAAGCCAGGUAUGGCAGCCUACCAGGUUAUCAAGAAAUCUUCUGGUUUUGCUGCCUGCAUGGGACUGCAAAAAUGGGGUGGGGAAUUGUCAAGUAUUUGUUUGGCUACUGCUGAUAGGCUCUGUUCAGGUUGGUGGACCACAGGCUGUGUAAGCCUAAUUUCAAGGUGCUUCACCACUCCACUCAAACUAUCAACUUGCAUUCCCUUCCUGGCUCCUAUUGUUCCAUAUAAGUUAAUCAGCUCCUACAUUCCCUCUGUCUAGAUUUCUAAAAAAUGUUUACAUGAAAAAGAGAAAAUAAAUAAAUGUCUCUGUUCUGUUCAUCACCUUACAUUCCUUCUUGCAUUAAACAAUAAUACAGAUUAAUUUUUGUCAUCUUGAAAAUGAUCAUUCCAAUCUGCUAGAACAACUUCCUUAAUCUAUCUCAACAGUACCAAUAAGGGUUCCCUAGGAAAACCUAUUUCCUCAAUCUUCUGUAAAAUCCAAAUACAGUCUAAACACAGUCCACAGGCCAUGUAUCUCACCACCAGAGCUGCAGCCAAAGGGUAGGUUUGAGGAGCAACUUCUCACUUAAAAGUUGGAGGGGGCAGAGGACAAUUUUGACAGGAAAAAUAAUGUUUUGGGGACUGAAGAUGUGGGUUCUAAGGUUUGGUGGGAAUAAGUUUGGUAAAAUGGGGGGGGUGCUUAAGGGGGAAUCUGUACCCCUGCUCACUAUUGAACACUCCCAAAAUAUACCAUAGAUAUUUUUAUCAAUAGCUCCACAUUUCCAGCAAGAAUUGUUAUCCGUUUCUAGAUACGUUUUUAACCUCAUAAAUGUCAAAUACCAUCAGAAUUGUAAUUUUGGGAAGCUCUCUGUUGGACACUAAUCAAGUUUUUAAUAUUAUUCUUCCAACAACUCAUCUGUGUUGCAGAUGUUAGACACCACAGCUCCAGUUUAGCAGGAAUGGUGUGUACUUGCUAAUGGGACAUUAGCUCAGGAUUCUUGUAUACUGUAUUGUUCCAACAUUUACGGAUACUGACCACACCAUCUCUUCUAGGAUGGAACCUUCAAUAUGCAGGUACAUUAUUCUAUCUGCAAUGGCUUAAUUAUUCCUUGGUAUGCACAGAUGUGCUCCCUCUAUUGAAAUAGGGCUGUCCUUGUAAAGAAAAUAUGAAUCUUCUUUUGUGGCUUCCACUGCUUGCUUCUACUUUUAAAAGCUGAAGUGGGAUUAUGGGAAGUGUCUGUAUAGACAAAGAGAACGAUCUGAUCCUAAAGAAAAGCACUUCAGAGACUAGCCUCACAUAACUGCACAUUUAUGCUUAGAUAACUAGUUAAAUCUGGUUAGUGGGGUAAAACAAGAAUUAUAGAUGAUCUCCACUUAGAGACCUACUCUCUUUGGACAAGGAUGACAGUACUGAAUCAUGACUCAAUUAUCAUUACAGAGUGCAAUUUUAGAGGUUUCUCCUGCAACUGUUCCAGGAAAUAUCAUCUUUAUAACUGGAUUAUUUUUAUUCUAAGUAACCAUUACUCAAAUAAUAUUGGACUUCUGGACUUGGCACUGCUCCUGGAUGGCCAGCUGGCAACUUGGACAGAAGUGAUUUUGAAAAGCUUUGGCUAGUGCACCAGUUCAGACCCUUCCUUGAGGUGGCAGAUCUGGCCAUUGUUACCCAUGCCUUAGUCAAGUCACAGUUGGCUUACUGCAAUGCACACUAUGUGGGGUUGCCCAUGAAAAGUAUUCAGAAACUACAGAUGGUGCUGAAUGCAGUGGCCAGAUUGCUAUCAGAGGCCACUCAACAUGCACAUAUGACACAAAUUCAUCUUAUUUUUAUUAUUUCUCAUUUUUGGAAGGGCAGUAUAGAAACUGAAUAAAUAAUAAUAAUCUACUAAUGAGGCACUACUUUGGCAUGGUUGUGGGGCUUGUGUGCUCUGAGGAAGAUGAGAGCUAUGCCAGAGGUUCAACCAUACUGGACAGGUCUCAUCAGAGUGCCUCCUCCAUAAACAAAAUGGUGAGACAUAAAUUUAAUGAAUCUUUACUGGAUCAGUCAUUGCCCGGGUCAACAAGGACUGUGCCAGGUGCUGGAGUCCCUGGACAUCUGGUGACAAGUGGGCUACAGGACUCAGGAUCUUCAGUUGAGCAACCAGGGCUGGAGACUGCAGGGCUAUUGGAAGAAACGUCACUUAACCAGAAAAAAAAAUACACAAAAAACAUUAACAAGGAAAUAAUGAUUUGCUAUUACAAGUCUAGUCCCACCAGAAGAGGUUAUUUUAAAAGAAUGCACCAAAUUUGGAAAGAGAAAAAUCCAGAUACAGAAAUAACAGAACAAAGGCUAGCAGACCAGAGAAGAUUCAUAAUAAGAAAUAAAGUAUUCACAGAAGUUGAACUGGAAGAACUGCAAAGAGCAACACAGGCUCAAGAUAUGGAAGAAGAAUCACCACCAACUGAAGAAGUUGCUCAGGUGCAGGUGGAGGAUUAAAAUUCAAAACCAAAUUCAAAACGGUUUCAAAUUCAAAACCAGGCAACCUCCCCUUUGCUUUCAUCUCAAAAACCUGAAUGCCAUUUAACAGAAAAGCAACAAGAACAAAGCAAAAAAUAACUGAGCACAUGAACCAAACAAACAUCAGAGUUUGACUUCCAGCUCUAAAAACAGUUGAUACAAAUGCUGCAAUUGCAGAAAUAACAACCAAGAAUUUGCAAGAAACAAACCAACUAAUGUACAGCACAGCAACAAUAACAACACAAGAGCUCGAAUAUAAGAUCAGUGGACCAGCUAAAAAAGAAAGUAGUAUACCACUUAAAUGGAAGAUUAGAUUAGAAAAUAAAAUCUCCAGGCUUAGAUCAGAUGCUAGUUAAUUGAAAGAUAUGAAAGACAAGAAGCUGAAGAAUGAAAACACCAAACAGUAUCUGAUCCAAAAAUACCACCUAGAUUCAAGGAGAAUUGGAGAAGUCCUGGAAAUAAUAAAGCAGCAAAUAACAGCAGUGUCAAAGAAGAUUAGCAGAUACGAAGCCAGAAUUGCACAAUACAGGCAGAAUCUCCAAUUCCAGUCGAAUCAGAGACGUUUCUACCAAAGCAUAGAAGGAGAAACUGCAAGAAACCUAGAAACACCAAAUAAAGAAGAAACAGUGCAAUUCUGGGAAAAAUUAUGGGACAAUCCAAUAGAGUAUAAUAAAAAAGCAGGUUGGAUAAAAGAGGUCGAAAAAAUGUAACCAACAAAUGCAAGAUCUAAUAAUAACACCAGAAUUAAUAAGUGAAAGAGCAAAGAAAAUUAAAAACUGGACUGCACCAGGCGAUGAUAAACUGCAUGGCUUCUGUCUUAAACAUCUAACAAGCCUUCAUAAACAACUAUCAAAACAGUUCAAUAACAUUUUGCAAGGAGGUGAUAUUGAACAAUGGUUAAUAACUGGCAAAACUUACCUCGUAAUGAAAGACCCAGCAAGAGGUGCAGUUCCAAGUAAUUAUAGACCGAUACCCUGCCUGCCAACCAUGUUCAAAUUAUUAACUGGAAUAAUAGCAGAUGAAGUAAUGCAACAUCUAUUAACCAAUAAGCAGCUUCCAGUUGAACAGAAGGAAAUUGCCCGAACACCAGAGGCACAAAAGACCAGCUGCUGAUUGACAAAAUGAUUUGUCAAUUUAAACUCCAAGAGGAUUUAAAUACAGUGAGGCCAGGUCUAUACAUGCAGCAGAAUGAGGUGGGAAACUGACUGCACUACUUCAAAAAGCAGGAGGGGGCGGGGUCACAUUGCUAAACACGCCUUGCAAACUGAAAACCAGUGAAACUGGGAAAGGCUGAGCGAGAACCAUUCUUCCUGAUAGUCCCCCCCCCCUUUCUUUUAUAUGGAGUUUUUCUUUUUUGUGGGGAGCAUUCAAAAGUAGCCCCUUCCACCUGUAAACUGUAGUGGUAAUGAUGCAGUACAUGCUGCCUCUUUGUUUAUGUGUGAAUCUAGACUCGGGCACACAAGUCCCAUUGCUCUGAAUGAGACCAAGGCACACCAAACUUUCUCUAGAUUGUGCCCAGUAUUUAAUUUAUGAGAGCAAGAUUAGCAGCAUUUACUUUUUAUAGUGUCAUUCAAAUAGUCCAUGGACAACUAGUUCAAUAAUAAUUUGCCACAAAGACCUCAUUAGGUACUUUAAAUAGGGAAUCAGCUCAUGGUAUUCUACUUGAUACUUUUUGUUUAGUUAGGAUAGCUAAUCAAUGUGUUGUAAUUAUUUCCCUAUUUGAGAUAGAAGAAGCUAGAAACCACCAAGUUUCAAUCUCUAUCAUCUGCAGAGCGGAAUCCUGAGGUGGCUUUGCCAGCCAAUCAAAUGGAAAACACAGCUCACAAAUCAGUUUGUGGUCUGACUCAUUUCACAAAAAGCAACAAUAUGACCUCUCCUUUUGUGAGUGAACAUAUCUUAGCCUUAUACGUGUUGACUUUAAUUUGCCAAACAAUGUCCCCCAUGUUGCAUAGCAUAGUACUGGCAGCACGAAUCUGCCUGUGCUGCUGCAGGCUCCUAACGAAGCACUGGCAGUCUUGCACUUUUGUGGAAGAGUGUGAAUACCUGAAGUAGCAUGCCUGAUGGUCAAGCAAUGUGUUUCUGAUCUAAGUAGCCCUUCUAGAGUGUAGGUGUGCCACUUUAAUUAUUUAUGCUCUUGUCCAUAUCUUAUUUAACACAAAAGUGCAAGACCACUGGUGCUUCAUUAGGAACCCACCAUAGCAUGGGCAGAUUGGCCCUGCCUGCAUAAUGCUGUGCAAAAUGUGGAACAGUAUUUCCAGUUGCCAUGUGGCACUGUAGAAUAUUAUACAAAUGAUGGCCAUUUGUAAAGCAAGUGCAUGGUUGCAACAGAGCAUUGCCAAGAGGGCAAGAAAAAUGGCACACGCUCUUAGGAAGCACAGUGGAUUGAAAAUGGCUAGAGAACAAUUAGUGAACUGAAGAUGUUUUAUCAAAAGAAUGGCACAGAUUAUUACGAUUGCAAAGGAUGGGUGCAAAUUCCUUAAUAUGAUUUCUUUCACAGUCUGUGUCUUCUUGGCCCAUUUUUUUUGGAGUUGUUUGAAGCUAUCAGCUGCAUUAUGGUGGACACUUUUUAUCAGACUUUUUUGUCUUAAGUAGUGGACACUUUAAGAGAGCACGCAACAGCUCUUGCUAACAAUGCCUUCUGGAAGCUGUGCAGAAUGUCAGCCAAGGAAGGGUACUUCUGCUCUGUUAUGAAGUGAAGGACUGGGUCUCAAUACUGGGGCAAAGCAAUGAGGUGCAGAGAAGCAUGGGAUCAGAAAAUGGGAAACUGAAGGCAGCCUAUCGAAUGUGAAGUGGGGUCAUUUUGGUUGUACUUUAAACUGUUUGCUGAUUCUGUCACCUUAUCUUUCUUUUGCCUGCAGUUGUAACACCAUCUGCAUUUGUCAGUUCACAACUUGAAAUGAACUCAAUUUCUAUGUAUGAAUGUCUAAUAGAUGUAUAGGCUGACUUUUAUAAAUUGUAGCUUCUAUUGCCAGAUUAUUU